GUCGAACGGAGUGAAGAUGCUUGCAUCUGAACUUAGUGGCGGACGGGUGAGUAACACGUGAGCAACCUGCCUUUCAGAGGGGGAUAACGUUUGGAAACGAACACUAAUACCGCAUAAAAUAUCGGAGUCGCAUGGCACUGAUAUCAAAGGAGCAAUCCGCUGAAAGAUGGGCUCGCGUCCGAUUAGGCAGUUGGCGGGGUAACGGCCCACCAAACCGACAAUCGGUAGCCGGACUGAGAGGUUGAACGGCCACAUUGGGACUGAGACACGGCCCAGACUCCUACGGGAGGCAGCAGUGGGGGAUAUUGCACAAUGGGGGAAACCCUGAUGCAGCGAUGCCGCGUGAAUGAAGACAGCCUUCGGGUUGUAAAGUUCUGUCGCAGGGGACGGAAAUGACGGUACCCUGCAAGAAAGCUCCGGCUAACUACGUGCCAGCAGCCGCGGUAAUACGUAGGGAGCAAGCGUUGUCCGGAAUUACUGGGUGUAAAGGGAGCGUAGGCGGGAGGAUAAGUUGAAUGUGAAAUCUAUGGGCUCAACCCAUAGCUGCGUUCAAAACUGUUCUUCUUGAGUGAAGUAGAGGCAGGCGGAAUUCCUAGUGUAGCGGUGAAAUGCGUAGAUAUUAGGAGGAACACCAGUGGCGAAGGCGGCCUGCUGGGCUUUUACUGACGCUGAGGCUCGAAAGCGUGGGUAGCAAACAGGAUUAGAUACCCUGGUAGUCCACGCUGUAAACG
rnacentral:rRNA from 1 species